GCGGGGGUGGCUGAGCACGGCCAAAAGCGCCGGAUUCAGGGUCCGGUCCCGUAGGGGUCCGAGGGUUCAAAUCCCUUCCCCCGCACCA
rnacentral:tRNA from 1 species